rnacentral:rRNA from 1 species
GUCUAAGUAUAAGCAACUAUACGGUGAAACUGCGAAUGGCUCAUUAAAUCAGUUAUCGUUUAUUUGAUAGUACCUUACUACUUGGAUAACCGUGGUAAUUCUAGAGCUAAUACAUGCUAAAAACCCCAACUUCGGGAGGGGUGUAUUUAUUAGAUAAAAAACCAACGCCCUUCGGGGCUCCUUGGUGAAUCAUAAUAACUUAACGAAUCGCAUGGCCUUGCGCCGGCGAUGGUUCAUUCAAAUUUCUGCCCUAUCAACUUUCGAUGGUAGGAUAGUGGCCUACCAUGGUAUCAACGGGUAACGGGGAAUUAGGGUUCGGUUCCGGAGAGGGAGCCUGAGAAACGGCUACCACAUCCAAGGAAGGCAGCAGGCGCGCAAAUUACCCAAUCCCGACACGGGGAGGUAGUGACAAUAAAUACUGAUACAGGGCUCUUUAGGGUCUUGUAAUUGGAAUGAGUACAAUUUAAAUCCCUUAACGAGGAACAAUUGGAGGGCAAGU